UCAUCCCAACAAAGAAGUUUGUUCUCACAAAAAACUCGGUUUUUGGUACUGUUGUGAAAAACCUUAAAUAUUUAUACUCUGUGAGAUUGGCAACAAGAGCAUUGCGAGAUUGGCAUAAAGUUACAACAUUUUUUUACUAGUACUAGUAGUACUAGUGAAAAGACUGUGAAAGGAAUAGGGUUUUUUUUUAAACCAAAAUCCAGGAAGGGCUAUCUAUAUACGCCGCUGGUAUUUAUGGAAAUCUCAUCUUCAAAAAAUGUUGGACGCCCACAAAAAGAUUUUGCGUAUUGUUGCAAAAAUACGCAAGUCAAAAAAUUGUCAGACCUAUCUGAAGAUGUCCCAUUACAUGCAUUGUUGGUAACUGCAACUGCAAUCAUUAUACGGAAGUCAUGGAAUGAUUUUGGAGCCAUUAACAGUGCAGAACGGACCGAUAGUUUUAUGGAAAAACGAUACCCCUUUUUCUACUCCAUUUUGUCGACCCAUUAAUAUACUUUGCGAGAAAGAAUCGGCUGACUUAAUUCGCAUAGAAAGUCAAAAUAUUAAAAUCCAAAUAUGAAAUAUUUUACCUAAUUAAUGAGUGGCUUUAGAAUUGAUCACCAAUUUCGCAAAAGCAAUAAAAGAAUAAAUUGCAGGAUAAAUAUAAAUAUAUGAGAUCUAGAGUUUAUUAAUCUAUAUAUAUAAAAAUGAAACCCGUUUACCGUUGUCAGAAAAUCACAUGAAAACGGCUUGACCGACUUGGCUGAUUUCUUUUUGUAGUAUUCUAAUAUUCUGUACAAGGUACUUACGGAAAAAAAUAUUAAGAAAAGCGUUUUUAAGUAGCUGCGAAAACUAUAAAGACCACCCUUUCCUAUUUCCUAUACGUUUAGAGUAUAGGAAGGAGUCCUGGUUGCGUUUAGAAAUUGGUUGAUAUUUAGUGACAACACAUUAAGUUUCUUUGUUUUAAAGACUAAAAAGUUUUUUGUUUGCUAAUAAGUGUUUGUUAGUCAUGAAACCACUACAAGAAACCAAAAAUGCCAGCAACCACACGUAGAAACUUAAGCCGCAGAACUCGAAGUACGGCAAGUCAAAGAUAUAUAAGGUCAAAUCUAACUGAUGAGCAACGCGAAGCGCGAAACUAACUUCAACGGAAUCUAAAUCAACAUAGAAUUUUUGUGUUUAAUCCCCACAGAGCUGCAUUCAGUUAUAAUGGGGCAAUUGAUUACAGUCCAGAGCAAAUUGUUGAUAUUGGGCUAAUGAAUAUUUUGUGUCGACAUUGCAAUGCAUUGAAAUUCAAAAAAGAAGCCCCUGAACUGUGUUGCGCCAGCGGCCAAGUCAAAUUGACGCCAUUGGUACCACCACCACCACCAAUUGCUCUACAAUAGUGGUGCAGAAAACAUCGAUGGAAACAUCGAUACCUCGAUGUUUUGGAAAAAUGAAAAACAUCGAUGUUUAUUUUUGACCAUCGAUGUUUUGGUGCCAUCACUUUUAGAAGAAGAAGCAAUAAAAGAGUGUAAAGGGCAUGCGAUUGGUUGUGUAGGUGGAGGCGCUGUGUGUUUUAUAAAGAUGGGAACAACAAAGAAAAACGAAGCUCCGUCUUCCAAACGGAUUUAAAAAAACAUCAGGACAAAGCUACCUGUCUUCACUGUGGCAAAAUUUUGAAAACGUCGGGAAAUACGACAAACAUCAUACGACAAACAUCAUGGA